rnacentral:rRNA from 1 species
GACGAACGCUGGCGGCGUGCUUAACACAUGCAAGUCGAGCGGUAAGGCCCUUUCGGGGGUACGACGAGCGGCGAACGGGUGAGUAACACGUGGGUGACCUGCCCUCCAGCUCUGGGAGUAAGCCUGGGAAACGUGGGUCGUAAUACCGGAUAUGACUCCAUGACGCAUGUUGUGGGGUGGAAAGACCUUGUGCGGCUGAGGAUGGGCCCGCGGCCUAUCAGCUUGUUGGUGGGGUGAUGGCCUACCAAGGCGACGACGGGUAGCCGGCCUGAGAGGGCGACCGGCCACACUGGGACUGAGACACGGCCCAGACUCCUACGGGAGGGCAGCAGUGGGGAAUCUUGCGCAAUGGGCGAAAGCCUGACGCAGCGACGCCGCGUGAGGGAUGACGGCCU